UACAGAGGUCCCGAGCGUUGUUCGGAUUCAUUGGGCGUAAAGGGUGCGUAGGCGGCGGGGCAAGUCUGAUGUGAAAUCCCGGGGCUCAACCCCGGAACUGCAUUGGAUACUGCCUUGCUCGAGUACUGGAGAGGGAACUGGGAUUUACGGUGUAGCAGUGAAAUGCGUAGAGAUCGUAAGGAAGGCCAGUGGCGAAGGCGAGUUCCUGGACAGUUACUGACGCUGAGGCACGAAGGCCAGGGGAGCAAACGGG
rnacentral:rRNA from 1 species